UAUCACUCUCUAAAGUGACAACUUACUCAGGU
rnacentral:piRNA from 1 species